AAAAAAAUUCCAAAAAAUUGCUUGAGAGCUAAACUUUAUUCGUUCCUGCAUUGGAUUAGAAAUAUUUAAUAAUUCAAUUUUUGUGUUUGAUUCCUUAGAAACAUGUACAGUAUUAAAUAUUGAAAAUUGUAUCAAAUUUUUGAUAACAGUUUUAGCAAUAUUUGUUUGAAUUGUUUACAUUACUAACACAACCAUACAUCAAAUACUGUUCAACUAUCAAUUAAAUAAUGCUAGAUUUGCAUUACAAUGAUUGUUUUCUCACACAAAAAUAAUUGUAUGGACAAUUAUUAUUAUUAUUAUUAUAUGUAUUCUAUUAUUCAAUAUUUUGUUCAAAUAAAUAAAAUUUACUUCACUAUUUUUUUUUUUAUUUAUGUGUAAAAUAAAUUAAUAUCUAUUUAUUAUUUACAUAAUUUCAUGAAUCAAAAAUAUAUAAAUUCAAUAAGUCUCUAGUCUUAGUAAUAAGAUAGAUAGUAAUUAGUAAUUAUUAGAUAUAUGAGUAAAUUUUUUGUUUUUCUUUUAAAGGUCAACAUAGUGAUAAAUAUUAUUCAGACAACAUAUUGUAUCUUGUGAGAAAACUGGCAUUGAAGUAAUCAACUCAUCCUUUGCACUUUUAUGUGGUGUGAAUCCAGCACUUACCAUAGACUGUAAAAACUGUAAAACAUUGAUCUAUUCACCACAAUCAUAGUCCAUUGGCUUCCUGUCAAAUAUUUCAAUUGUUUAAUUCAAAUUCCAUAUACCAGGUAAUCCAUUUAAGUGGGUAAACUCACAUUUUAUCUCUUAUCUCUUCGAUAAAGUUCUAUAAAAUUAUUUAAGUUUAUGUAAUUAAAAUUAUAUAUUUUAGUGUUAAAAUUUAUUUUAACUAAUACUCCAUCUAUGGACUUAUUAUUAUUAUUAUUAUUAUUAGGUUGCUAUUUGAAAAUUAAAAGUAGAUAAUGGUAAAACAGUCCAAAAAUAAGGGUGACAAAAGAUAACAUAAAUAUAAAAUUUUAGAGCUGGUUGUUUCUUAAGGCCCCUUCUCACCAACGUAAAUAUUGAUUUUUAAACAGAGUUUAUAAUUGCCUUUCUCAACCAUAGGGUCAUGACCUAAUUUUGGGUCUCCAUUUUAAAUGUGUCUCCAAAUAAUAAAAACGUUAAUAUAAUAAUUUCAGUUAUAGACUGCCUGUAUAAAAAAGUUUUAAAAAUAAUUAAUGAAAUAUUUUUCUGAAAUUAUUUUUCUUAACAAACAAGUAUAAAUUUAUAAUUUUUGACUAUAGUCUUUCAAUACUAUAAAUACACUAUCGGAUCACAUCCAUAGAAAGAUUAAAUUUGGUAAGUUGUUGACCUGUAUUUUUUUGGUAUCAAUUGUCAUUAUUGUGAACUUCACAAAGUACUCAUUACUCAUUUAGUCAUGUAUAUUAAUUUUAAAAUAAACGAAAGGUAAUAGUUUCUUUUAGUUAUGGUAAUUGAACAAUUAAGUUAAAUGGGUUGGGUAGGAUGGGCAGCAUCCUUUUUUUGUUGGAGAGAAAUGUUCUAGAAAACAAAUUCCGGAAAUAGUUAAUGCUUUCCGAAAUAAUGAAUAUACCCACUUAAUUGGAUCAUCUAGUAUGAGUAGUACUGUUUUUGUGUCUUUUUCCUCUUUUCUCCAUCAAUUAAAUUUAUUCAAUACCUAUUCAUAAAAAGUAUAUUGUGGUGUCAAGUUUAAUUACUGAAAAUAAAAUUCAAACCUUGAAAACAUAGAUACCAUCAGAGUUGUAGAAUAUACAUUGUAAUUCACUAAGCUAACCUUAUUUUUUUGGUUAAAUUUUGCUCUUACAUUCAAAUUCUGAUUUUUGUGAUUUUUAGGUGUAGUUAAAGUUAAUAUUUUCGAAUACUUAGAUUUUUUUGCAACAUUUAAGAAGUAUCUGUGGUAUUACCAACUUUAAUAAUAAUAUCAUAUUUAUUGUAACAAUAACAAAUCUUUACAUAUUAUAAAUAUUAUAAAUAAUAUUAAAUAAAUAUUGCAGCGCCCUAAAAAGCAGAGCUUGUACUGGGGGUGCAAGUUCUUAAAAGAAAAAAAAUAUAAACCAAGAAUAAGUUUAGUUACAAUGAUAAUUAAAAAUAAAAAUUACAAUUACAAAUAGAAUAAAGAGACUUAAUUAAUAUAAUAGAGCAUCAAUGAGGUAUCAAAUCUUAAUAACAUGAUACCAAUAAAGAAAAUAAAUAAAAUAGAUAGACAAUUAGUGACAAAUAUGAGAUAAUUAAUAACUGAAAUUAAAUACAAUUUAAAUCUAAUUUUUUAAAGUAAUUAAAUUCUUAAAAUUAUUUAAAUUAAUAUUAAAUGAAACACAUAAAUCUAAGCCAAUAUAAAAUGUCCUUUUUUUACCGUUUUCUGUUCAUGAUCAACUAUUGGUAAUAAAUGUUUUUGUCUAAAUAAAUCUAUCAGAAUAGAAAGAUUAUAAAUAAAUUUAAAUUUUUACAUUUCAGUGCUUCAUUCUACUAGUGCUUGUUUGAAAAGGUAAAUUUAAUAAAUAUUUUAUAGUACAAUUAAUAGUAUCAUUUAAUCUGGAUAAAUGGAUAUUAUAGGUUUCUACUAAAAUUGAUAAACCAUACAAAUAAUACAAUUGUACUAGGGAUGAAUAAAGAAUUCUUUGAAUACAUAGAAGAAUUUAUGUAAAUUAUUAUUUAAAAAGUUAAUAUGUGUCCCAUGUUAGCCUAUAAUCAAGAAUUAAUCCAAGAUAUUUAAUUUAUAAUACUUUUCCAAGAUUGAUAUAUUUAGGAUUGCAGGUUGAAUUACAAUUAGGUAUACAGUUUAACUAAUAAACUUGUUAAAUUAUUAUUUGUAAA
rnacentral:lncRNA from 1 species